rnacentral:rRNA from 1 species
GACGAACGCUGGCGGCGUGCCUAAUACAUGCAAGUCGAACGAAGCCUUCGGGCUUAGUGGCGCACGGGUGCGUAACGCGUGGGGAUCUGCCCUUUGCUUCGGAAUAACAGUUAGAAAUGACUGCUAAUACCGGAUGAUGUCGUAAGACCAAAGAUUUAUCGGCAAAGGAUGAACCCGCGUAGGAUUAGCUAGUUGGUGGGGUAAAGGCCUACCAAGGCGACGAUCCUUAGCUGGUCUGAGAGGAUGAUCAGCCACACUGGGACUGAGACACGGCCCAGACUCCUACGGGAGGCAGCAGUGGGGAAUAUUGGACAAUGGGCGAAAGCCUGAUCCAGCAAUGCCGCGUGAGUGAUGAAGGCCUUAGGGUUGUAAAGCUCUUUUACCAGGGAUGAUAAUGACAGUACCUGGAGAAUAAGCUCCGGCUAACUCCGUGCCAGCAGCCGCCGUAACAC